GGUUAAGCGACUAAGCGUACACGGUGGAUGCCCUGGCAGUCAGAGGCGAUGAAGGACGUGCUAAUCUGCGAUAAGCGCCGGUAAGGUGAUAUGAACCGUUAUAACCGGCGAUUUCCGAAUGGGGAAACCCAGUGUGACUCGUCACACUAUCAUUAACUGAAUCCAUAGGUUAAUGAGGCGAACCGGGGGAACUGAAACAUCUAAGUACCCCGAGGAAAAGAAAUCAACCGAGAUUCCCCCAGUAGCGGCGAGCGAACGGGGAGGAGCCCAGAGCCUGAAUCAGCAUGUGUGUUAGUGGAAGCGUCUGGAAAGGCGCGCGAUACAGGGUGACAGCCCCGUACACAAAAGCGCAUGUGCUGUGAGCUCGAUGAGUAGGGCGGGACACGUGGUAUCCUGUCUGAAUAUGGGGGGACCAUCCUCCAAGGCUAAAUACUCCUGACUGACCGAUAGUGAACCAGUACCGUGAGGGAAAGGCGAAAAGAACCCCGGCGAGGGGAGUGAAAAAGAACCUGAAACCGUGUACGUACAAGCAGUGGGAGCCCCACCACUAAGCCAGUGGUGAACUCCACAUACGCAUCCUUUGCUGAGGAUACGGUUAACGGAGCGAAAGCGACGUUCAA
rnacentral:rRNA from 1 species